GAACCUUCCUUUAGGGGCGAAUUGGGGCCCGACGUCGCAUGCUCCCGGCCGCCAUGGCGGCCGCGGGAAUUCCCAUUUCCGGUUGAUCCUGCCAGAGGCCGCUGCUAUCCGGCUGGGACUAAGCCAUGCGAGUCAAGGGGCUUGUAUCCCUUCGGGGAUGCAAGCACCGGCGGACGGCUCAGUAACACGUGGACAACCUGCCCUCGGGUGGGGGAUAACCCCGGGAAACUGGGGCUAAUCCCCCAUAGGUGAUGGGUGCUGGAAUGCCCCAUCACCGGAAGCGCUCAGCGCCCGAGGAUGGGUCUGCGGCGGAUUAGGUAGUCGGCGGGGUAACGGCCCGCCAAGCCGAAGAUCCGUACGGGCCAUGAGAGUGGGAGCCCGGAGAUGGACCCUGAGACACGGGUCCAGGCCCUACGGGGCGCAGCAGGCGCGAAACCUCCGCAAUGCGGGAAACCGCGACGGGGCUAGCCGGAGUGCCGAUGCCUCGCAUCGGCUGUCGGGGAGCCUAAAAAGCUCCCCACAGCAAGGGCCGGGCAAGGCCGGUGGCAGCCGCCGCGGUAAUACCGGCGGCCCGAGUGGCGGCCACUAUUAUUGGGCCUAAAGCGUCCGUAGCCGGUCUGGCAAGUCCCCCGGGAAAUCUGGCGGCUUAACCGUCAGGCUGCCGGGGGAUACUGCCAGACUAGGGACCGGGAGAGGCCGGGGGUAUUCCCGGGGUAGGGGUGAAAUCCUGUAGUCCCGGGAGGACCACCUGUGGCGAAGGCGCCCGGCUGGAACGGGUCCGACGGUGAGGGACGAAGGCCUGGGGAGCGAACCGGAUUAGAUACCCGGGUAGUCCAGGCUGUAAACGAUGCGGGCUAGGUGUCGCGACAGCCACGAGCUGUCGCGGUGCCGGAGGGAAGCCGUUUAAGCCCGCCGCCUGGGAAGUACGACCGCAAGGCUGAAACUUAAAGGAAUUGACGGGGGAGCACUACAACGGGUGGAGCCUUGCGGUUUAAUUGGAUUCAACGCCGGGAAGCUUACCGGGGGAGACAGCGGGAUGAAAGUCGGGCCUGAAGACCCUUACCAGACCUAGCCUGAGAGUGUGCCAUGGCCCGUCCGUCAGUUCGUACUGAUGUAGCAUCCUUGUUUAGCUCCAGGGACAUAGUGCA
rnacentral:rRNA from 1 species